AUGGCGAUGGUGUUGGAUGCAUUUGCAUCCUACCUGGUGGACAUGCUCACGCAGGUAGCAACUAAUGAGGUGAAGACGAUGUUGGGCGUCUCCGGCGACAUCGACAAGAUGGGAGACAAGCUUCGGGACCUCAAAAACUUCCUGGCCGAUGCCGAUAGGAGGAACAUCACCGAUGAUACUGUUCGAGAGUGGGUGGGGCUGCUCAAGCGUACCAUGUACGAAGCUAUUGACAUCCUUGAUCUCUGCCGGCUCAAGGCCAUGGAGCGUGGACCAUCCUCGGUAAAUGCAGGGAGUUUCAAUCCCUUGCUCUUCUGCAUGAGGAACCCCUUCCAUGCUCGUGAGAUCGGCACCCGCAUCAAGGCGCUCAACCAGAGGCUUGACGACAUCAAGGAACGGAGCGUUGCUUUCCAAUUUGUCAAUCUCUGGUCCUAUGGGGAUCAUUAUAGCAAUACCCAUGCCUCUCGCCAUGGUAAUCUAAGCCGAGAGAUGGUGGGGGACUUUGACCGGUCUGCUGUUGUUGGGCACAAGAUUGAAGAAGACACAAGAGCACUGGUGGUCCAGAUCAUGCAAACGGAAAAGGAUGUCAACAAUGUCAUCACAGUGGUCGCUAUCGUAGGUGUUGGCGGGAUCGGCAAGACCACCCUCGCCCAGAAGGUCUUCAAUGAUGAUGCCAUCCAAGGCUGGUUCAGCAAAAAGAUAUGGUUGAGCGUCAACCAAAACUUCAGUGAGGUUGAGCUACUGAGAAGAGCCAUCAUAGGUGCCGGUGAAAACGCCCAGCUAGCUGGAAAUGCAAAGGACACGCUUCACCGAGCCCUAAUGCGGGCCUUGAAGGACCACAAGACCUUGCUGGUAAUGGAUGAUCUGUGGGACAAAGGAGCUUGGGAGGGUGUGCUCAGAAUACCCUUAGCCAAUGUUGCUGCUUCAGGCAGUUGUGUCCUCAUCACAACUAGAGAAGGACGCGUUGCCCAAGGGGUGAUAGCUAUACAGCCCUACCACCAGGUCGACACAGUAGCACCAGAUGAUACUUGGUCAUUGCUCAAGCAGCAGGAACAGGAGUUUGUCAUGCUUCAGGCACGUCGCGAGUCCUCUGCCACGUACAUUUUGUGGGGGAUCUGUACCAGGUACGUAUGUCACGGCCGAUGUUCUAAUGUGCCAAUGCAGCAACGAACAGUUCCGGUACAGCCCGGGCAGGCGGGGAGGCCCGUGUUCUACACCAGCCAAUUGCUCACGCAUGCCAACACGCGCGAAGUGGACAUCCUGUUUCUGUACGCCUGUUUCUUUUCGUUUUCUUUUAAUCUUACUCGGCAUGAUUGGACAUCGCGCAUGGCCAUGCUAGUAUAG
rnacentral:rRNA from 1 species